rnacentral:rRNA from 1 species
UACGUAGGGUGCAAGCGUUGUCCGGAAUUAUUGGGCGUAAAGGGCUCGUAGGCGGUCCAUCGCGUCGGGAGUGAAAAGCUGGGGCUUAACCCCAGUCCUGCUUUCGAUACGGGUGGACUAGAGGUAGGUAGGGGAGAACGGAAUUCCUGGUGUAGCGGUGAAAUGCGCAGAUAUCAGGAGGAACACCGGUGGCGAAGGCGGUUCUCUGGGCCUUACCUGACGCUGAGGAGCGAAAGCAUGGGGAGCAAACAGG